rnacentral:rRNA from 1 species
UUUAACUUAAGAGUUUGAUCCUGGCUCAGGACGAACGCUGGCGGCGUGCCUAACACAUGCAAGUCGAGCGGAGAUUUCUUUGGCACUGAGUACUCUAGUAAAGACGCAAAGGAAGCGUCAUGAAGAAACAACCUUGAUGUUAAGAACACUGAUAAAAGUUACUUCAUCACGCGUUUUAAAAGUGCCAAGACAAAGAGGUAAUCGGGAAUAGAGUAUUGAGUGCCAAAGAAAUCUUAGCGGCGGACGGGUGAGUAACACGUGGGCAACCUGCCUUAGAGUGGGGGAUAACACCGGGAAAUCGGUGCUAAUACCGCAUGAAAUACACAAACCGCAUGGUAUGAGUAUGAAAG